CUUGUCUCAGUGUCUGACACUGUAACCACCAAUAGUUUAUACUUAUACCCAUCUCUGUAUGCUGCAAUUCUACAUAACAAUCUGCAAUUCUAUGUUUCAUCAAGGCAUUGCAUAGCAUUAACAGAUCAAUUGGAUCAUGGGCAUUUAAGUUUUUACAUCAAGUUGCUGAAUAAGCAAGACCUUUUUUAAGGUGAAGUUUUUGGGGACAUGGACCGAGCACAUCUUAAUUGCAAGGCAAGUGGGUGAAUACUUUGCGUAACCAGCUUCAGCUACAAACAUCAGCUUCACAGCCCAAUUUGUGGACAAAUGCAAAAGGUUCUCUCUUGACCAGUUAAUUGCUACUUCUGAAGCAGUUGAUGAUGAUGGUUAUCAAACAAACUAUAAUAGGGAUAUGUUCUAUCAUUUCCAUUCCCAAUAAAAAGCAUGCAGCAAACUUCUAAAUGCAAACAGAGUGAAAAAAAUGACAAGAAGCAAGAUUCUGUUUUAUUGGUUAUCAUCACAGAUUAUCUGUAAGUUAUGUUUUGACACAGAAUUUUGGGAAUGCAUCACAGACAGCAGUUUCAGGGCUAGGGGCUAUAAGGUCGACUAAGCUCUUUGUAUGUCAAUUCGUUGGCUGCUACCUGCUGGAUUUUCCCUCUUUGACUUUCUAAGAACGUACCUGCUCUUGAUUUGAAAUUUAUGCUGCGCCGCUAUUUAAUGAAUUAAUCCAGUAGGCGGAACCUGCCGAAAGAUCGGCAACGACUGUCGACUGACGGACGUGCUAUUAUUCUGCAAUACUGCUCACUUGCGUGCCAACUUUUCAUUGCCCCGAGGCAUGUGAGAGUUGAGCCUGCUCCAGCUACCCGGCCAGCAUCAUUUGUCUACACAGCCGACUGUACUACUACCCCAGCCCUCACCUAGCACGGAGUUUCUUGAGGGCGACGAGAUCAUGAUAUUGAUGAGGAGAAUAUGUUUUCGCAGUCGGAGUUUGCCGCUUUGGCUCUUUGCUGGCAGCUGGCAGCUGGCAGAGACGACAGAUGCGGACGUUUUUAAAUGCAAGACUGAAAAUGGCCAUCUUGCGGUUUGCGCGUUACUUUCAAGAUGGCUUCUGGCAUUCGACGAGAGUCGACAGCAAUUGACAGAUCCCAGCUGAAAUGGACCGUCCCGGUUUGUAGAAUUUGGCGUAACGCGUCUUCUACACUGCGGAGUGCGACGACCAGGGAUCGAAAGUGGCAACUUCAUCUCCUUUUCCCCCUCUCUUCGUGUACACGUUUGUGAGUGGGCUGAGCGUAAUCACCGAGUACGACUUUCCUCCAUUUAAUUCACCUAAUGUCAACUCCCAGUUUCUGUGUGGGCGGAUGGCGAGUGGCUCAUGGCGAGCAAAGCAACAACUAUGUAGUAAACAAUAGCCCGACAUUCGCGACACUAUGUUUGCUUCUGUUAUGGCUUCUGUAAUGAAUUUUCCUUGGUUUUACGGACCACAUAAAAAGAUGUGUACUUUUGUAGGCAAAUCUUUAGCUAACAUAAUGUAAUCACCGUAGUCCGUACCAGUAUUGUAGUUCUUAUACCGACACCCAUCUAUGUAUUCUACUAUUCUGUAAGACCUGUCAUCUUACAAGGUAUCACAUAAACUGGAUCAUGUAUCAUGGGCAUUCUAAAUGCUAACCUCAAGUUGCUGAAUGUUUCCUAUUUACUCACAGCUUUAUGUCUAAAAAGUUGCAGAUGUGUGCUUACAGGUGCUACAGUGAUCAAAUAGUUAAAUUCUAUGAUUGCCAUUCCCUGAUGAUGUACAGAAGUUUGAGCUAAUGGUGUCUGUUGUGUACCACAGCUACUAACUCCGAGAGGGAUUCUUGAAUGCGCCUUUAAUGAGAUUCAGUGAUUCUCGAUCUCGGAUCGUAACAUCGGAUCCGACAGAAUUAAUCACAGAAUCCGACAGCGGAUCGUGACUCUCCCGAGACUGAACUAAUUGACUUUGGAGAAUAACCUGUGUGUCCUAAGUAGUCGUGAAGUCAGCAAGGUUCAAGUUUAUUUAAACGCCAGUAAAGUUAUCUAUUGCGUCCCAACCAUUUACCUCAGGGACUUGAUCCUCGCCAUAGAUAACAAGUGUCAGCGGAUGAAAUGUAUUUUGCCAGAACUUCUCUCCUAUUGAGACGUCAUUCCUUCAAACUACAAUUUAGUUAUUCUGUUGUCAUUGUUUGUUGCCUUAGAUGAUUUAUUUUGAUAUAGUGUCUAACUUCUUCUUUAACGUUAGCAGCGCUUUUUUUUGGUUGCGCAGCAGUGUGAAGUACGAUAGCUUUUAAUUUCCUUUUAUGCUCAAAGAUUGGUCUAUGCUAUAGUAAUGUUGAUUCUACGCCAAAUAUUAAUAUGAUGUUUAUUGUUUACAGA